GGAGGAUUUUGUGUGGGAGUGUCUUUCUGUAAUGUAAGUGUUAUUGGUUGUUCUGUAAAACCCUGUGGGCAGUACUAAAUUUGUGGAUUGGGAAUAAAAGAGGCUGUAUGUGCCAGUACAGUUAGUUCCUGCUUAACCCUCAAAGUGAAGUGUCGUCUCAUUAUUGGGGGAGGAUUUAUUGUAUGCUGUUCCAGUUUGACUGCUAGGAGUCUAAACCCAUCCGUAUGGUUUUUCCUAUUCGGCUGUAUACAACAUUCAUAUGCUCCUACGGUUCGGUGGUUGAGGUGUCUGCUGCAGUGCUUGGAGUCCUCAGGAAGUGCUAGGAGCAUCCUUGAACGGAGGUACCCAGUCGGGGUGCCAGGUGAUCCGUUACAAAGAAUAUUUAGG